GCACUAGUGAAAAAUGUUAACAUAGAAAUUUUAAAAGUUUCAGAAUGAUUAUAUUUAUGUAUGAAUUUGUAAUAGUAAAAUUAUUUCAUUAUCAUCAACUUACCGACUACAUUCAUCUGGAUGGCCAUGCUGAUUUUUGGCUCAGUACUAACUGCAAUACAAGAGAAUACGUUUAAUGAUGGAAUGGACGAAGAUGGAAAUACCGAAGGGAGACAAUGACGAAAAUAUGCAAAGUGCAAGUGGAAACGAGCAAUUAAGAUGGGCAUCGCUGAGUAUUAUCUUUUACUAUUCCAGUGAAAGGCUGCGUUAUUUCUGGAUAAUAACAUUUCCCAGUCCCUCUGAGCAUUUACAAUGGGGAAUUAAAAGGGUGAAAGGACAGAGACAAUGGACAGGAUUCAGACUGAGAAACAAAAGCCAAGAGAAGAAAACCCACUUGCCUUGACACUCAUAAAUUCCUUCAGGUUGCGAAAUUGUCAUGAAAAAAAAACAGUUAAAUAUAAAUCCCAAAAAUACAAUAAUAUCAUAAAUGUAUAAAUA